AAAAAUUAAUUUAAUAUCGAGGUGGGCACAUGACCCACGUAUUAGAUAUUGAGGAAUACUUCAAUACUCCAUAUAAAUCUUGACCAUUUAUUUUUCUUAAUAGAUGGUUUAGAUUUAAUAUGAUUCUAGAGGUGAUCUGCUAUUGAAGCAUAGGUACCAUUCACCGGGUACCCAUUUAAAGGGUAUUUUAGUCUUUGUAAAAUAGUUUGGUUUACAAAACCGGUUUUAUCCAACUAAGAAUAUUGUGACCCUCUUAAAUACCUACAAUAAUAGUUGAAUUUUAAAUUACAACCAAACUGUAAAUUUAAAUUCAAAACAACAUUUAAAACUUUAUAAAUCAAAUUUAAUUUUUUUGAAUAUAAAACAUAAAUUUAAAAUAAAACUUUUUGUUCCAAUUCAAAAUUUCAAUUUAAAUCAAAAAUUAAAAUUUGGCUUUAAGAUUAAACGUUCAAUUUAGAUUCAAAUUUAAAAGUUUAAUAUAAAUUUCAAAAUUAAAAUUUUACAUUACAAUACUAAUUUCAAAAAUUAAAUUUAAAUUCAAUAUUUUUUUGAGAUGAAUACUUAAUAAAUUGGGUAUCAUCUAAUUUGGUAAGUUAUCAAAGUAAAUAAGAUAUUUAAUAUUUAAAGGAUACUGACAAAUUUGGUAUAUACUAAUUUUUUUUCAAUAUUGUCAUGUUAAUUAAUUCAAAUCGGUAACCUGUUCAACAGGUUACUUCGUGUAAAUCCCAACUAUACCCUUUACUAAUUAAGGAAUUAAAUUUUAAUACUUGUGGUGUAUUGAAGCAUUCCUCUUAAAUAUUAAACUGAUAAGAACAGAUAUUACACUUCUAUGAAAAUUAUAAAUUUAAUUAGAACUAUAAAUUAAAUUGAACAACUAGAUUUGGUUGAGCAUAUUAAAUGCGGUCGAUGUGAACUUUUGUUAAAUCGUGCUCUGAUUUGUAGGUCAUAAAACUUUUUUUUAAAAAAAAGAAAAAACAACCUACAGUAAAAUCAAAUCUU
rnacentral:lncRNA from 1 species